AUGUACAGUGAGUUAAUUUCGAAAUGUAGGAUAGUCUUAGGCUACAGUCUACUCAUCAAAAAUUAAAAGAAAGACCUUUACACAAAGGAUCUUAUGCUUGCUAUUGUUAUUAAACAGUCAUUAAAUAUAAGGCCUAUAUAUACGGAUAAAAAGCUAAAUGUUUUCAUUUCGGUUCAUGCUUGGUUUAAAAAAAAUCCUUCAGGUUCCAUUUGCAGAUAGAAAUGAGAACGGUCCAGCAUUUAGCAAUAAUUAUGAUUAAUUCUGUUAUUAUUCUUGAUUUUUCAAACUGCUAACACUUUGCAUUUUUGAAUUAUGCCUUUACUGUGUGACCAAAAAUUUUGUAUUUUCUGUUUCAGCUGUUUGAUCGCGCUGGUGCCUCGCGCACAUUCAUUGGAAACAGUAACCGUUCACCGUGCCAUCCGGCGCGAGCAGCGGUCCACUUUGGCAUAUUUUUGUUAAUUAUGAUUGUUUAUUUUUUUUUCCGUCGCUACUGAAACAUGCGUGAACUACAAAGCCUAUUUUUCCUAAUGAAUAAUAGUUAAGCUUGAAAUAGGCAACAUCACGAAUAUGAAAACGUUUGGAUUUCUCCCGAAUGAGAGCCCAACCUUACCUUAUGGUUCGCUUUAAAUUAUUAUUCUUUUUUUUUGUAGCCUAUUUACAAUGCACAAACCAGAAGCAACAAUAUCUGCAGAGAAGGGUUGGCCAUUCUCAAAAAAAAAAAAAAAAUCAAUUUUAUUUCAAUUUUCGUUUUUGUGUUUCAGAGGAAAAAUCAGUGUUAAGGCAUCUCUCCAUUACAGACCGUUCUGAAAGAAGAAUUUAUGCAAACGCGUAUAAAAUGCUUUAAAAACUUUAACAGAGAUGUCUAGAGGCUAUUUAAUAGGUCUGCCUCCCAUGUAAGAUUUUUCUAGUUACUAGUCUUCAUUUGUCAUUUUUCAACUAAUUGCAGGAUUAUAUUACAUUUACAUCUAUAAUCCAUAAUGAGCCUUAAUAUAUUUCGCGCUCAAGCACACGCAUUAAGUUUGCCCCAAAGCACAGGCAGAAGUAGCCCAAUAAUUGUAAAAAAGGAGACAUUUUAAUUAUUUAUUAAUAAACAAAUGUUUUCUUGUCGGCUGCAAGAUGAAAUUCACAGUCAGUGCCCUCCUUGGUUUCCGCCCCCAAACUGUCAAAAGUCAUGUAGACUCGAGGGAGCAGAAAUCAGCUGAGCGAGCAGAAAUCCACUGUGCAAGCAAAACAGCACUCCGCGAGCAGAGUUAACCUAUGAGAGUAUGCCAGGCGCUUGCUCGCAGCUACAUGUACACCUCUCGGUUGUUGAAUUUUGCGCGAGUACUUUUAUCAUGCCAGCUGAAGGUUCAUUUUUGCGCGUGUGAAAUAACAAUGUGCUCGUGAGGAUGUCUUACACGCUCAUAACUUUUGACUAAAAAAUAACGCCAUAUACAACCUUCACAGAUUACAUAAUGCUUUCGUUCUGAAUUGAUUCGUUUAAAAGACAUUUCAAGCUUUCUGUAGAUAUAUUUCUCAUGUAUGUGCUGGUAUGUGAGACACCACAAUUUUAAGUUAUUUCAUUAUCAGGAAAAAAUUCAAGUGAUCUAGAGGGCGCCUCCCUGUCCUGCAUGCGCAUUAAUAAUUUUCACACAAACACUUAAAUAUGAAUAGUUAUUCACAUUUUGCAUAUGCAUUACAACGUAAAUGAUAUUUUACAUGCAAUUAUCCAAAAUAAAACCAAACAAGAUUUGUAGUGAAGAUAAAACAAAUAAGAAUAAAUGCUGCGCAUGCACUCAGCAUCACUCGCGCCGCGCAAAUCUUGCACGCAGACAUUUUACACACCUGCAUUUAAAUGCGGCUGCAAUUUUUUUUUUUUUACUUAAAUUCUAUGUAAGCAAGUAACGGCGGCUCCCUUUAAAAUCACUGAAGUUGUCUAUUAAUGAAGCUCUUUUUUUUUUUUUUACAUCAUUUGCAGUUUGGUGAUUAUAAUGAGAGAACUUGAGUUUAAUCGUGAGGACGUUUUAUUAAUCCGUCCAUUCUUUAGAAUUUCAAUGAUUUAGCUAAAUCGUGCAGGUUUAAUUUAUUCGUUUCUUGUUUUAAUCAGGCCUAAAUAAUGGGAACGAAAUUAUACAGUGCCUCACGUUUUACUAAAAUAAAAUAAUUUAUAAAACAAGCAACAAUUUCUUACAGACAAAUAUAUUUUCCCAAGAAGUUGUCUGUCAAAAUAAAGGACAGUUAACGAAUAACAAAAAAAUGCAUGUUGUUUUAUUAAAGGAAUUUUAAAAUGUAGCCUAGGGCCUAAUAUAUGAGAAUAUUGACAUUUUGCAUAUAAAUCCAUGUAGCCUAGCUCACUAAAAUAGGCUACCACUUUUAAUGCUCUGAUGCAAAGUAAACCACAAUUUCUUUUGAAUAAUAUAACACAUAAUUCAUAUUAUAUAAAUAAUACUGCACCUAUUAAAUGUGUCAAAUCUAAAAUAUGGUGUAAUACUGUGUAGCUUAGAGAAAAUAUAAGCACAGGCUCAGGCACAGGCUUGACAUUUAUCCUGCUUGAAUUCGUUCUAAGAAAUGCACAUAACUUCAUAAUUACCAAACUUUCAUCUGUGAAUAUUAAAUAUUUUUAACUAUAGUGUUUUUCUUUCAUUUUCCCUGACUGCAGCCGUCAAAUGUAACACAUCAGAGAGGCAAAACUGACGUCUAUUUGCGAAAAUGUGCUUUGAUGCGCUUGUUUGAAAACUUGUGAUUAAAGCGCCACUCAGCGGUCAAAAGCUGCAAAUGCACUUUGCAGACGCCGCGGCGGCGGUACGAGCGGCGGUAGAAGUGACGUUUUGGAUGUCUACCUACUGUAUUCAAUAUUGGUAGGGGCUCCUUUUGCUUUAAUUACUGCCUCAAUUCGGCGUGGCAUGGAGGUGAUCAGUU
ensembl:lncRNA